rnacentral:rRNA from 1 species
GUCCACGCCGUAAACGAUGGGCACUAGGUGUGGGAGGUGUCGACUCCUCCCGUGCCGGCGCUAACGCAUUAAGUGCCCCGCCUGGGGAGUACGGCCGCAAGGCUAAAACUCAAAGGAAUUGACGGGGGCCCACACAAGCAGCGGAGCAUGUGGUUUAAUUCGACGCAACGCGAAGAACCUUACCUGGGUUUGACAUGUAGGUGACAGCCGUGGAAACACGGUCUUCCUUCGGGACACUUACACAGGUGGUGCAUGGCUGUCGU